rnacentral:rRNA from 1 species
AUCUAUGACCAUACCACCUCAAAAGGGCCUGAUCUUGUCUGAUCUGAGAAGCUAAGCAAGACUGACCUUGGUAAGUACUUGGGUGGGAGCCCAUCUGCUUAUACUAGUUCUCUUGGCUG